rnacentral:lncRNA from 1 species
GUUUAUCAUCACAUCUGUAUGGAAUAGCCUGUUAUUUUCCAGACAAAAGACCAGUAAAUUAGUAUGUCAUGCAGUGAAGAGUACUCCUAGAAUCUCCAUGUUUCCUUUUUUUCCUUAGGGGUAUUGAUUGUGGGGGUUAAGUCACCACUGCACGCAAAGCCUAUUAAUCCUAUUUUCUCCAUGACUAGGUUCUAUAAUCUCUAUACUGUAUUAGAGUGACAUUAAAAGUUAGUAUGCAAGGAAUGUUAGUUUCACCCUUCUUAGCACAUUCAAUUCGAGAAAUUGAAUAACUAAUAGAUAUGAAGAACUACACUAGACAGUGGGGUUUGGAAGAGACAAAAAAAUUAAUUCAAUAGCUUCUGCCUUUAAGGAAUUCCUACAUUAGUUGUAAAGACUGAUUCUUAAACAUAUAUUGUACUGUAUCAUUUAUUUAUAGAGGUAAAGUACUAUAUUAUAGAGAAAUAAAUAGUAACUGAUAUCUGCAGGAAAUAGAGAAAUCCAGGACUUUUGGACUAAGGAUGUUUUAUCAUAUGCAGAAGCAUAGUCGAGCAUGGUGGUGCAUAACUGUAAUCCCAGUGGCUUGGGAGGCUGAGGCAGGAGAAUCUCAAGUUCAAAGCCAACCUCAGCAACUUAUUGAGGCCCUAAGCAACUUAGCAAGAUCCUGUCUCAAAUAAAAAAUAAAAAGGGCUAGGGAUGUAGCUCACUGAUUGACUGUGUUACCACAGAAGCAUAGAAAUAUGGAAGAACAUACAUUUAGAAGAAAAAAAAUCAGUGAGAGUGGAGAAUAGGGUACCUGGUAAAGAAUGUAGUUGGUUAAGUAGAUUGGUGUUUAACUAUAAAAGUUCAUGCAUUUUUUUCUAUAAAAUGUUAAGCCAUUGCAAGUUUUUAAAUGUGUGGAGUGGCCUGGCCAUAAUUGUACUUUAGAGAAUUAUGCAGUGAUAUGAUGAUAUAUGAGACCAAGGGAGACCAGAGUUAGAAACUCAAUAAUGCAAUGAGAGACUUCAACAGGAUCAAAAUAGUCAAUUUGGAGAGAAAUUUCUGCAACCCAGCGGCUAAAAUUUAUUGACUAAUUGAACAAAGAUCAAGGAGUAAAGGGUGAAUUACAGAAAGGAAAUGAUGACCCUGAGGGUUUCUUAAUCUAGAUUAGGCAGAUGAUGCCAUCAACUGGUGCAUUUUGAUGCCAUUCAAAAGGGGAAUUGAAGAUUAUAAGUUAUAAUUGACCACAAAGUUUGCAUCCAUGCUCAUAAAUAGAGAUCAUCUAUGUUAAACAAAUAGUGCUCCAGAAUGGACUGAUCCUUUGAGAGUUAACACAUUUUGCCCAUGUCUAUUUUUUUUAAGUUGUAGUUGGACACAAUACCUUUAUUUUAUUUAUUUACUUUUAUGUGGUGCUGAGGAUUGAACCCAGUGCCUUGCACCUGCUAGGUGAGAGCUCUGACGCUGAGCCACAACCCCAGCCCCUUGUCAAUGUCAAUUUUUUAAAAUAAAUAUAAGUAGGCUCAUCAGCAGAUUCAGUCAGGUUGGGAUUUAAUAUAGAAC